rnacentral:miRNA from 14 species
GCAUACCCAGUUAAAGUUGAAUUUCAGAUAAACAAUGAAUACUUUUUGAGUAUGAGUAUGUCCUAUGCAGUAUUUGGGACAUACUUAUACUCAAGUGUUCAUUGUCAUCUGAAAUUCAAAUUCCGCUGGGAGU